rnacentral:rRNA from 1 species
GACGAACGCUGGCGGCGUGCUUAACACAUGCAAGUCGAACGGAAAGGCCCUGCUUUUGUGGGGUGCUCGAGUGGCGAACGGGUGAGUAACACGUGAGUAACCUGCCCUUGACUUUGGGAUAACUUCAGGAAACUGGGGCUAAUACCGGAUAGGAGCUCCUGCUGCAUGGUGGGGGUUGGAAAGUUUCGGCGGUUGGGGAUGGACUCGCGGCUUAUCAGCCUGUUGGUGGGGUAGUGGCUUACCAAGGCUUUGACGGGUAGCCGGCCUGAGAGGGGGACCGGCCACACGGGGACUGAGGCGCGGGCCGGGCGCCUACGGGAGGCAGGAGGAGGGAAUGUUGCGCAAUGGGCGGAAGCCGGACGGAGGAACGCGGCGCGAGUGAUGAGGGUCUUCGGAGCGUAAAACUCGGUUAUUAGGGAAGAACAGAUGUGUAAGUAACUGUGCACAGCUGGACGGUACCGAAUCAGAAAGCCACGGCUAACUACGUG